UUGCAAGCGGGUUGGGACCUCACCUCGGUGAGGGCUCCAGCUUGUCUGAAUUAUUCACCCAUGUCUUUUGCGCACUUCUUGUUUCCUGGGCGGGUUCGCCCGCCACCAGGACCAAACCAUAAACCUUUUUGUAAUUGCAAUCAGCGUCAGUAAACAAUGUAAUUAUUACAACUUUCAACAACGGAUCUCUUGGUUCUGGCAUCGAUGAAGAACGCAGCGAAAUGCGAUACGUAGUGUGAAUUGCAGAAUUCAGUGAAUCAUCGAAUCUUUGAACGCACAUUGCGCCCUUUGGUAUUCCAAAGGGCAUGCCUGUUCGAGCGUCAUUUGUACCCUCAAGCUUUGCUUGGUGUUGGGCGUCUUUGUCUCUCACGAGACUCGCCUUAAAAUGAUUGGCAGCCGACCUACUGGUUUCGGAGCGCAGCACAAUUCUUGCACUUUGAAUCAGCCUUGGUUGAGCAUCCAUCAAGACCACAUUUUUUUCAACUUUUGACCUCGGAUCAGGUAGGGAUACCCGCUGAACUUAAGCAUAUCAAAAGCCGGAGGAAA
rnacentral:rRNA from 1 species